GUUGACCUCGGAUCAGGUAGGGAUACCCGCUGAACUUAAGCAUAUCAAUAAGCCGGAGAGAAA
rnacentral:rRNA from 1 species